UAACGAUGACAACAACAGCAGUAAAACA
rnacentral:piRNA from 1 species